rnacentral:rRNA from 1 species
GAUGAACGCUAGCGAUAGGCUUAACACAUGCAAGUCGAGGGGCAGCAUGGUCUUAGCUUGCUAAGACUGAUGGCGACCGGCGCACGGGUGCGUAACGCGUAUGCAACUUGCCUCACAGAGGGGGAUAACCCGUCGAAAGACGGACUAAUACCGCGUACACUUGGGAUAGGGCAUCCUGACCCAAGGAAAUGAAAUUCGCUGUGAGAUAGGCAUGCGUCCCAUUAGCUAGUUGGUGAGGUAACGGCUCACCAAGGCGACGAUGGGUAGGGGAACUGAGAGGUUGAACCCCCACACUGGUACUGCGACACGGACCAGACUCCUACGGGAGGCAGCAGUGAGGAAUAUUGGUCAAUGGGCGAGAGCCUGAACCAGCCAAGUCGCGUGAAGGAGGACUGUCCUAUGGAUUGUAAACUUCUUUUAUACGGGAAUAACAAGAGUCACGUGUGGCUCCCUGCAUGUACCGUAUGAAUAAGCAUCGGCUAACUCCGUG